GAUGAACGCUGGCGGCGUGCCUAAUACAUGCAAGUCGAGCGAACGGACGAGAAGCUUGCUUCUCUGAUGUUAGCGGCGGACGGGUGAGUAACACGUGGAUAACCUACCUAUAAGACUGGGAUAACUUCGGGAAACCGGAGCUAAUACCGGAUAAUAUUUUGAACCGCAUGGUUCAAAAGUGAAAGACGGUCUUGCUGUCACUUAUAGAUGGAUCCGCGCUGCAUUAGCUAGUUGGUAAGGUAACGGCUUACCAAGGCAACGAUGCAUAGCCGACCUGAGAGGGUGAUCGGCCACACUGGAACUGAGACACGGUCCAGACUCCUACGGGAGGCAGCAGUAGGGAAUCUUCCGCAAUGGGCGAAAGCCUGACGGAGCAACGCCGCGUGAGUGAUGAAGGUCUUCGGAUCGUAAAACUCUGUUAUUAGGGAAGAACAUAUGUGUAAGUAACUGUGCACAGCGUGACGGUACCUAAUCAGAAAGCCACGGCUAACUACGUG
rnacentral:rRNA from 1 species